rnacentral:rRNA from 1 species
GAUGAACGCUGGCGGCGUGCCUAAUACAUGCAAGUCGAGCGAACAGACGAGGAGCUUGCUCCUCUGACGUUAGCGGCGGACGGGUGAGUAACACGUGGAUAACCUACCUAUAAGACUGGGAUAACUUCGGGAAACCGGAGCUAAUACCGGAUAAUAUAUUGAACCGCAUGGUUCAAUAGUGAAAGACGGUUUUGCUGUCACUGAUAGAUGGAUCCGCGCCGCAUUAGCUAGUUGGUAAGGUAACGGCUUACCAAGGCAACGAUGCGUAGCCGACCUGAGAGGGUGAUCGGCCACACUGGAACUGAGACACGGUCCAGACUCCUACGGGAGGCAGCAGUAGGGAAUCUUCCGCAAUGGGCGAAAGCCUGACGGAGCAACGCCGGGUGAGUGAUGAAGGUCUUCGGAUCGUAAAACUCUGUUAUUAGGGAAGAACAAAUGUGUAAGUAACUAUGCACGUCUUGACGGUACCUAAUCAGAAAGCCACGGCUAACUACGUG